rnacentral:rRNA from 1 species
AUUGAACGCUGGCGGCAGGCCUAACACAUGCAAGUCGGGCGAGCGGCGGACGGGUGAGUAUGGUAUGGGGAUCUGCCUGAUGGCGGGGGAUAACUACUGGAAACGGUAGCUAAUAGCGCAUACCAUCAGAUUGACCCAUAUAGGAUUAGCUAGUAGGUGAGGUAACGGCUUACCUAGGCGACGAUCCCUAGCUGUUAUGAGAGGAUGAUCAGCAACACUCGGGCUGAGCCACGGCCCAGACUCCUACGGGAGGAAGCAGUGGGGACUAUUGCACAAUUGGCACAAGCCGGAUGCGGCGCUUCCGCGUGUAAGAGGAAGCCCUUCGGGUUGUCAAGUACUUUCAGUUGGUCGGCGUUACCGACAUAAGAAGCACCGGCUAACUCCGUGCCAGCCGCCGCGGUAAUUC